GUUAGGAAUAUUGGACAAUGGGCGCAAGCCUGAUCCAGCCAUGCCGCGUGAGUGAUGAAGGCCUUCGGGUUGUAAAGCUCUUUAGCCGAUGAUUAUAAUGACUGUAGUCGGAAAAUAAGCCCCGGCUAACUUCGUGCCAGCAGCCGCGGUAAUACGAAGGGGGCGAGCGUUAUUCGGAAUCACUGGGCGUAAAGCGUGCGUAGGCUGUUUUGUAAGUCAGAAGUGAAAGCCCAGGGCUUAACCCUGGAAUUGCUUUUGAAACUACAAGACUCGAAUUCGGGAGAGGAUAGCGGAAUUGUCAGUGUAGCAGUGAAAUGCGUAGAUAUUGACAGGAACACCAGUGGCGCAAGCGGCUAUCUGGACCGAUAUUGACGCUGAGGCACGAAAGCGUGGGGAGCAAACAGGAUUAGAUACCCUUGUAGUCC
rnacentral:rRNA from 1 species